UUUGGCGAGGCGGUCGGGCGAGGGAGCGCGCACGGAGCGCGGGACGGAGCGCUGGGCAGACGGACCGACGGACGGACGCCCCCGCACACGCAGACGCACAGAGCUCUGCUAGGUUCCCGUCACACACACACACACACACACACGCAGACACACACAGGGACACGCACACUCGCGCGCUCACAUCCUCCCGCCAGCCUGCCCGCCAGCUCGCCGGCGCCCGGAGCCCGCUCUGGCCGGAGUGAGACAGAGAACUACACCGCUGAUGACUCCGAGCAAGGGGCCCUGGACAUGUGCUGCAGCGAGAGGCUGCCGGGUGAGUCUUCCCAGCAGCCGGUGGGGCUGGAGAGGAACCUGGGUGGCUCUGAACUGACUCGAGAGGAGUGACUCAGUGGGUCCGUAGGUCUUUGUUUAAAUGAGGGUUUGUUUUUCUCAUCCUUGAUGUCUCUCUGACCUGUUAUCAUUCGGAGCAGCUCUAAGCUCAGCUGGAGGGAAGAGCAGGCAGCUGAGGGUGUGUGGGGAGGGUGGAGAGAAGGGUAAAGAACUGGGGGCUCCAGGCCUCCCCAGGGACAUGAUCCCUGGCCGGUGGUGUAUCGGGCCGACUUGGCAAAGUAAGCUUAGGAGACAGCCUGACCGUGGCAGGAGCCAGCAGUCAGGUGGACACCAUGGAAAAACUCCCUGACAGCCCCGUGGAGAAGCCUGGCUGGGAAUGUCAGAUAGUGCCGCUUGAGUCCCAUUGACCACACUUGUGGGGAGCCUGGUGUCUGAACCACGGGCCAUUGCAGUCACCAUAGAAACAUUCCCCAGGCACUCCUGCCUGUGGGGUGGCAGCACAUCCCAGUUGAAGACCAAAUACCGUGAUAAACCGCUUUGGAAGGAAUGAAGGAAGGAGGGGUUUUUUUCCCCCUCCUUAUAGCAAAUAUCCAUUGUAAAAAGACUGGAAAAUAAAGACAAGUG
rnacentral:lncRNA from 1 species